AUUGAACGCUGGCGGCAUGCUUUACACAUGCAAGUCGAACGGUAACAGGUUAAGCUGACGAGUGGCGAACGGGUGAGUAAUGCAUCGGAACGUACCCGAUCGUGGGGGAUAACGCAGCGAAAGCUGCGCUAAUACCGCAUACGAUCUGAGGAUGAAAGCGGGGGACCGUAAGGCCUCGCGCGAUCGGAGCGGCCGAUGUCAGAUUAGGUAGUUGGGAGGGUAAAGGCUCACCAAGCCAACGAUCUGUAGCUGGUCUGAGAGGACGACCAGCCACACUGGGACUGAGACACGGCCCAGACUCCUACGGGAGGCAGCAGUGGGGAAUUUUGGACAAUGGGCGAAAGCCUGAUCCAGCAAUGCCGCGUGCAGGAAGAAGGCCUUCGGGUUGUAAACUGCUUUUGUACGGAGCGAAAAGGCUCUCUCUAAUACAGGGGGCUCAUGACGGUACCGUAAGAAUAAGCACCGGCUAACUACGUGCCAGCCGCCGCAGUAA
rnacentral:rRNA from 1 species